UACGUAGGGUGCGAGCGUUGUCCGGAAUUAUUGGGCGUAAAGGGCUCGUAGGCGGUUUGUCGCGUCGGGAGUGAAAUCCACUGGCUUUACUGGUGGCUUGCUUUCGAUACGGGCAGACUGGAGGUAUGCAGGGGAGAACGGAAUUCCUGGUGUAGCGGUGAAAUGCGCAGAUAUCAGGAGGAACACCGGUGGCGAAGGCGGUUCUCUGGGCAUGUCCUGACGCUGAGGAGCGAAAGUGUGGGGAGCGAACAGG
rnacentral:rRNA from 1 species